rfam:Bacteroides sp. CAG:709 genomic scaffold, scf13
GCCGGUGUAGCUCAGGGGUAGAGCGCAUCCUUGGUAAGGAUGAGGUCAUGAGUUCAAUUCCCAUCACCGGCU